AGGAAAUGUAGGUGGCAGUAGUGCUAACAAAAAUUUUCUCUAAGGUUUACAUCAGAAAUCGUUAAUCUGCCUCUGUACAAAGCAAGGUGGCAGUAGUGCUAACAAAAAUUUUCUCUAAGGUUUACAUUAGAAAUCGUUAAUCUGCCUCUGUACAAAGCAAGGCUAUUUCUGUGGCUGAAAGAGUUGCUGAUGAGUGUUGUGAACCUUCACCAGACUAACAUUACAGCCAUAGAUAAAACAGUAAUGGUUGUGUUGGAUAUUGAGAGACUUGCACAAUCCUCAGAUAGAGGUUGGGGGAGCCCAAAAGUGACUGAGUGGCAGCUUGUUUGAAGUUUACAUUCUUCUUUCCGUGGGCAAACACUGGGAUUGCUAAAGGGUGAGUAAGAUCUACUUCUUAAUUCCCUUAAAUUGUAAAAUAAUGUGGUGGGUUGUUGUUUAGGAGCAAGCAGGUGGCUUGCAUGGAGAGAAAAGGUGGAAUAUAUUGGGAGUGUUGUUUGUUUUGUGAAUGUUAACAUAUUGUUGUUCAAUUUGUUGUCAAUUUCUUGUAUUUUGUCUAAGUAAAUACAUAUAGUAUGCUGUGGUGGGUGGUUGUUGGAGAGAAAAGGUGGAGUAUUUUCUAUUAGGAGUAUUGUUUGUUUUGUGACUUAUAUUUUUGAAACUCAAUGUGCAAUGGUGAAAUUGUAGUGUAGGUGCGCCUCAUAACAUCCUAGACACUUGGGAUGUUUUAUUUUGUGUAUAUAUAACAUUCUAGACAUUUGGGAUGUAAUUAUAGAUAUGGUGUAAUUAAAUAUAUUUAGUUUCUUGGUUUAA